GUUGCGGUUAAAAAGCUCGUAGUUGGAUUUCUGUCAGUGAGUGGUGCUCCGCCCCUUGGUGGUGAGUAGUCAUCAUGCCGCUGGCAUCUUCUUGGGGAGUGUAUCUGCACUUCACUGUGUGGUGCACAAGCCAGGACUUUUACUUUGAGGAAAUGAGAGUGUUUCAAGCAGGCGUGCGCCGUGAAUACGUUAGCAUGGAAUAAUAGCAUCGGACCUCGCUCCAAAGCUGUUGGUUUCUUGGGUCGAGGUAAAGGUGAAUAGGGAUUGUUGGGGGCAUUCGUAUUUAACCGUCAGAGGUGAAAUUCUUGGAUUUGUUGAAGACGGACUACUGCGAAAGCAUCUGCCAAAGAUGUUCUCAUUGAUCAAGAACGAAAGUUAGGUAAUCGAAGACGAUCAGAUACCGUCCUAGUCUUAACCAUAAACUAUGCCGACUGGAGAUAGGGGGUCGUUAAAUUUAUGACGCCUUCUGCAUCUUGAGAGAAAUCAAAGUCUUUGGGUUCCGGGGGGAGCAUGGUCGCAAGGCUGAAACUUAAAGGAAUUGAC
rnacentral:rRNA from 1 species